UACGAAGGGGGCUAGCGUUGCUCGGAAUCACUGGGCGUAAAGGGCGCGUAGGCGGCCGGCCAAGUCGGGGGUGAAAGCCUGUGGCUCAACCACAGAAUGGCCCUCGAUACUGGCUGGCUCGAGACCGGAAGAGGUUGGUGGAAUUGCGAGUGUAGAGGUGAAAUUCGUAGAUAUUCGCAAGAACACCAGUGGCGAAGGCGGCUUACUGGUCCGGUUCUGACGCUGAGGCGCGAAAGCGUGGGGAGCAAACAGG
rnacentral:rRNA from 1 species